GACGAACGCUGGCGGCGUGCUUAACACAUGCAAGUCGAACGGAAAGGCCCUGCUUUUGUGGGGUGCUCGAGUGGCGAACGGGUGAGUAACACGAGAGUAACCUGCCCUUGACUUUGGGAUAACUUCAGGAAACUGGGGCUAAUACCGGAUAGGAGCUCCUGCGGCAUGGUGGGGGUUGGAAAGUUUCGGCGGUUGGGGAUGGACUCGCGGCUUAUCAGCUUGUUGGUGGGGUAGUGGCUUACCAAGGCUUUGACGGGUAGCCGGCCUGAGAGGGUGACCGGCCACAUUGGGACUGAGAUACGGCCCAGACUCCUACGGGAGGCAGCAGUGGGGAAUAUUACACAAUGGGCGGAAGCCUGAUGCAGCAACGCCGCGUGCGGGAUGACGGCCUUCGGGUUGUAAACCGCUUUCGCCUGUGACGAAGCGUGAGUGACGGUAAUGGGUAAAGAAGCACCGGCUAACUACGUG
rnacentral:rRNA from 1 species